AGUCCACUCGUGCGAGUUACACUCGUGACGGCACUAUCGAGCCAGGAAUUGCACCCGUCACUGACUCCUCCUGAGUGCAGACCAAGGUAUAAAGCAUGCCGUAGAUAUAGAGUACUCGACAGAAAUCCCGCGUAAUUUUCUAGCAACGACCGCAUCAUAGGGGUCCCGAUCGUCCGAUAGAUACUCUACUAUACACCAGCUCAGGACGAUAAGCACUGCGUAUGAUACACGUCUCACCCUAUCAGCCCACUGUCAUGAUGAUGUCGCGGACCGUCAUGACGAGAGAAGUAUCUACUGCGACAUCCAGAUACAUCCAUUUUAAGAUUCGAUCUAAGAAGUUGAGUCAUGACUCAGGACGUAACGCUGGCGGCGUGCCUAAUACAUGCAAGUCGAUGCGGUUAAAAUUUAAAAACUGGCUCAGAACGAACGCUGGCGGCAGGCUUAACACAUGCACGUCGAGCGCCUCGCAAGGGGAGCGGCAGACGGGUGAGUAACGCGUGGGAAUUUACCCUUUUCUACGGAAUAACGCAGGGAAACUUGUGCUAAUACCGUAUAAGCCCUUUGGGGGAAAGAUUUAUCGGGAAAGGAUGAGCCCGCGUUGGAUUAGCUAGUUGGUGGGGUAAAGGCCUACCAAGGCGACGAUCCAUAGCUGGUCUGAGAGGAUGAUCAGCCACAUUGGGACUGAGACACGGCCCAAACUCCUACGGGAGGCAGCAGUGGGGAAUAUUGGACAAUGGGCGCAAGCCUGAUCCAGCCAUGCCGCGUGAGUGAUGAAGGCCCUAGGGUUGUAAAGCUCUUUCACCGGUGAAGAUAAUGACGGUAACCGGAGAAGAAGCCCCGGCUAACUUCGUGCCAGCAGCCGCGGUAAUACGAAGGGGGCUAGCGUUGUUCGGAAUUACUGGGCGUAAAGCGCACGUAGGCGGACAUUUAAGUCAGGGGUGAAAUCCCGGGGCUCAACCCCGGAACUGCCUUUGAUACUGGGUGUCUAGAGUAUGGAAGAGGUGAGUGGAAUUCCGAGUGUAGAGGUGAAAUUCGUAGAUAUUCGGAGGAACACCAGUGGCGAAGGCGGCUCACUGGUCCAUUACUGACGCUGAGUGCGAAAGAUCAC
rnacentral:rRNA from 1 species